rnacentral:misc_RNA from 1 species
UACGGAGGGUGCAAGCGUUGUUCGGAAUCAUUGGGCGUAAAGAGCAUGUAGGCGGCUUGGCAAGUCGGCUGUGAAAGCCCGGGGCCCAACCCCGGAAUUGCAGUUGAUACUGUCUCGCUAGAGUCCCGGAGAGGAAGGCAGAAUUCCCGGUGUAGGGGUGAAAUCCGUAGAUAUCGGGAGGAAUACCAGCGGCGAAGGCGGCCUUCUGGACGGUGACUGACGCUGAGAUGCGAAAGCGUGGGGAGCAAACAGG